GACGAACGCUGGCGGCGUGCUUAACACAUGCAAGUCGAACGGAAAGGCCCUGCUUUUGUGGGGUGCUCGAGUGGCGAACGGGUGAGUAACACGUGAGUAAACUGCCCUUGACUGUGGGAUAACACUAGGAGACUGGGGCUAAUACCGCAUAUGAGCUCUUGCUGCAUGGGGGGGGUUGGAAAGUUUCGGCGUUUGGGGAUGGACUCGCGGCUUAUCAGCUUGUUGGGGGGGUAGUGGUUUACCAAGGCUUUGAAGGGUAGGCGGCCUGAGAGGGUGACCGGCCUCCUUGGGACUGAGAGACGGCCCAGAAUCCUACGGGACGCAGCAGGCGGGAAUAUGGCACAAUGGGCGGAAGCCUGAUGCAGCAACGCCGCGAGCGGGAUGACGGCUUUCGGGUGGUAAACCGCUUUCGCCUGUGACGAACAGUGAGUGACGGUAAUGGGUAAAGAAGCACCGGCUAACUACGUG
rnacentral:rRNA from 1 species